GAUGAACGCUGGCGGUAUGCUUAACACAUGCAAGUCGAACGGACUCUUCGGAGUUAGUGGCGGACGGGUGAGUAACGCGUGAGAAUCUGGCUUUGGGUUCGGGACAACCACUGGAAACGGUGGCUAAUACCGGAUGUGCCGAGAGGUAAAAGAGAAAUUGCCUGAAGAUGAGCUCGCGUCUGAUUAGCUAGUUGGUGAGGUAAAGGCUCGCCAAGGCAGCGAUCAGUAGCUGGUCUGAGAGGAUGACCAGCCACACUGGGACUGAGACACGGCCCAGACUCCUACGGGAGGCAGCAGUGGGGAAUUUUCCGCAAUGGGCGAAAGCCUGACGGAGCAAUACCGCGUGAGGGAAGAAGGCUCUUGGGUUGUAAACCUCUUUUCUUAGGGAAGAACAAAAUGACGGUACCUAAGGAAUCAGCAUCGGCUAACUCCGUG
rnacentral:rRNA from 1 species